AUGUAUGAACAAUUAUUACAGCGGCUGUAAGGCCUGAGGUUUGGCGACCACAAGGAUUCUGCUAAGUGGCCGGGGGAAACCUAGAAGACAGAAGUCCAAAACUAAAAGCCAAGUAUACCGGUGUAUUUGUAUACAUGUACAUAUAGGUACGACGAAAUCUGAAAGUCCCACAAUAAUUCCGGCUCUAUUGUUGCGGAUGUAUUUAAGUGCAGCGCGGAUCGACCACGGCCUGCACUAUGCUGAGAAUGGUAUAUCCGGAAUCAUUGAUAUGACGUAGGGAACGUUCUAUGGAAUAAGAAGAAAAAAGGAAGAAGAAGAAGAGGAGGAGGAGGAAGAAGAAGACGCGGAGGGGACCUGACGAGACAGUGCG
rnacentral:lncRNA from 1 species